AGAGUCCGGCUGUGGACGUGGCAAUCGCCAACCCGGUCAGGUCCGGAAGGAAGCAGCCGUAACGAAUCCGCCUCGGGUCGCGGCCGGGCUCUCAC
rfam:Alphaproteobacteria bacterium 62-8 SCNpilot_cont_300_bf_scaffold_3246, whole genome shotgun sequence.